CCUACGGGAGGCAGCAGUGAGGAAUUUUCCGCAAUGGGCGAAAGCCUGACGGAGCAAUACCGCGUGAGGGAUGAAGGAUUUUGGUCUGUAAACCUCUUUUCUCAAGAAAGAAGUUCUGACGGUACUUGAGGAAUAAGCAUCGGCUAACUCCGUGCCAGCAGCCGCGGUAAUACGGGGGAUGCAAGCGUUAUCCGGAAUGAUUGGGCGUAAAGCGCCUGUAGGUUGUUUAUUAAGUCCGUUGUUAAAGCCUAGGGCUCAACCCUAGAAAAGCAAUGGAAACUAGUAGACUAGAGUAUGGCAGGGGUAGAGGGAAUUUCUAGUGUAGCGGUGAAAUGCGUAGAUAUUAGAAAGAACACCGGUGGCGAAAGCGCUCUACUGGACCAUUACUGACACUCAGAGGCGAAAGCUAGGGUAGCAAAAGGGAUUAGAUACCCCUGUAGUCCUAGCCGUAAACGAUGGAUACUAGAUGUUAGUGCAUUAUGUACAGUAUCGUAGCUAACGCGUUAAGUAUCCCGCCUGGGGAGUACGCUCGCAAGGGUGAAACUCAAAGGAAUUGACGG
rnacentral:rRNA from 1 species